rnacentral:misc_RNA from 1 species
AUGGUUUCUCCAUAUUGAGCAACAACAGCCUUGCAUUCUUGACUAACAAUUCCAGUUGCUCCAAUGGCAUGGUUUACCUCAGCAAUGAUGCCCGUAGGUCCAGCCAACAAAGAAGUUCCAGAGUCAGCAAUUGCUGCACAGCCACUGCCACAAAUUCCAGUUGUUUUACCAUCAAUCAAGACGUCACCCAUGUUAAACUGCCAAUACCCUUUCUG